rnacentral:rRNA from 1 species
UACGGGGGGUGCGAGCGUUGUCCGGAAUCACUGGGCGUAAAGGGCGCGUAGGCGGUGCGGCAAGUCAGGUGUGAAACCUCCAGGCUCAACUUGGAGCUUGCAUCUGAAACUGCCGUGCUAGAGUGCGGGAGAGGAGAGUGGAAUUCCUGGUGUAGCGGUGAAAUGCGUAGAUAUCAGGAGGAACACCGGUGGCGAAGGCGGCUCUCUGGACCGCAACUGACGCUGAGGCGCGAAAGCUAGGGGAGCGAACAGG